rnacentral:pre_miRNA from 1 species
CAGGUUGUUUUAGAUUAGUGUACACAGGAAUUUUGUGCGAGUGUUGGUACACAAAAUUCCUUUGUAGACUAAUCCAAAGCUACCUG